rnacentral:rRNA from 1 species
UACGUAGGGGCCUAGCGUUGUCCGGAUUUAUUGGGCGUAAAGAGCGUGUAGGCGGCCAGGUAGGUCUGGUGUGAAAACUCGAGGCUUAACCUUGAGAUGUCAUCGGAAACCAUUUGGCUAGAGUCCGGAAGAGGAAAGUGGAAUUCCUGGUGUAGCGGUGAAAAUGCGCAGAUAUCAGGAAGAACACCAAUGGCGAAAGCAGCUUUCUGGGACGGUACUGACGCUGAGACGCGAAAGCGUGGGUAGCAAACAGG